UACGUAGGGUGCGAGCGUUGUCCGGAAUUAUUGGGCGUAAAGGGCUCGUAGGCGGUCUGUCGCGUCUGCUGUGAAAACCCGAGGCUCAACCUCGGGCCUGCAGUGGGUACGGGCAGACUAGAGUGCGGUAGGGGAGAAUGGAAUUCCUGGUGUAGCGGUGGAAUGCGCAGAUAUCAGGAGGAACACCGAUGGCGAAGGCAGUUCUCUGGGCCGUAACUGACGCUGAGGAGCGAAAAGCGUGGGGAGCGAACAGG
rnacentral:rRNA from 1 species